rnacentral:rRNA from 1 species
UACGUAGGGGGCAAGCGUUGUCCGGAUUUAUUGGGCGUAAAGAGCGUGUAGGCGGCCAGGUAGGUCCGCUGUGAAAACUCGAGGCUCAACCUCGAGAUGUCGGCGGAAACCAUCUGGCUAGAGUCCGGAAGAGGAGAGUGGAAUUCCUGGUGUAGCGGUGAAAUGCGCAGAUAUCGUAAGGAAGACCAGUGGCGAAGGCGGGUCUCUGGACAGUUCCUGACGCUGAGGCACGAAGGUCAGGGGAGCAAACGGG